GAUGAAGAACGCAGCGAAAUGCGAUAAGUAAUGCGAAUUGCAGAAUUUCCGUGAGUCAUCGAAUCUUUGAACGCACAUUGCGCCCAUUGGUAUUCCGAUGGGCAUGCCUGUUCGAGCGUCAUUAUCUUCCCUCAAACCUCGCGUUUGGUGUUGGGCCGUGCUGGUUCCUGCGUGACCAACUGGCCUCAAAGACAAUGACGGCGUCCGUGGGACCCUCGAUGCAACGAGCUUCUCAGGAGCACGCGUCGAGUUUCAAGGACCUUCCGGGCCGGUCUCUCCUCACGUUAUUACAAGGUUGACCUCGGAUCAGGUAGGGAUACCCGCUGAACUUAAGCAUAUCAAUAAGCGGAGGA
rnacentral:misc_RNA from 1 species